GUAGCUGGCGCAGCCUACUCAUGGCAGUCGUACACGAUAACUAAGCUUGCUUAGCGGAUUAGUGGCGAACGGGUGAGUAACACGUGAGUAACCUGCCCUUGACUCUGGGAUAAGCGUUGGAAACGACGUCUAAUACCGGAUAUGACCUUCGGAGGCAUCUCCUGGGGGUGGAAAGAUUUUUUGGUCAAGGAUGGACUCGCGGCCUAUCAGGUUGUUGGUGAGGUAAUGGCUCACCAAGCCUACGACGGGUAGCCGGCCUGAGAGGGUGACCGGCCACACUGGGACUGAGACACGGCCCAGACUCCUACGGGAGGCAGCAGUGGGGAAUAUUGCACAAUGGGCGAAAGCCUGAUGCAGCAACGCCGCGUGAGGGAUGACGGCCUUCGGGUUGUAAACCUCUUUUAGUAAGGAAGAAGAACUUCGGUUUGACGGUACUUGCAGAAAAAGCACCGGCUAACUACGUGCCAGCAGCCGCGGUAAUACGUAGGGUGCAAGCGUUGUCCGGAAUUACUGGGCGUAAAGAGCUCGUAGGCGGUUUGUCGCGUCUGCUGUGAAAACUGGAGGCUCAACCUCCAGCCUGCAGUGGGUACGGGCAGACUAGAGUGCGGUAGGGGAGAUUGGAAUUCCUGGUGUAGCGGUGGAAUGCGCAGAUAUCAGGAGGAACACCGAUGGCGAAGGCAGAUCUCUGGGCCGUAACUGACGCUGAGGAGCGAAAGCAUGGGGAGCGAACAGGAUUAGAUACCCUGGUAGUCCAUGCCGUAAACGUUGGGAACUACAUGU
rnacentral:rRNA from 1 species